UACGGGGGGAGCAAGCGUUGUUCGGAUUUACUGGGCGUAAAGGGCGCGUAGGCGGCCACCGCACGUCGGUUGUGAAAUCUCUGGGCUUAACCCAGAAAGGUCAACCGAUACUGCGGGGCUAGAGUGCAGAAGGGGCAACUGGAAUUCUCGGUGUAGCGGUGAAAUGCGUAGAUAUCGAGAGGAACACCUGCGGCGAAGGCGGGUUGCUGGGCUGACACUGACGCUGAAGCGCGAAAGCCAGGGGAGCGAACGGG
rnacentral:rRNA from 1 species